UUUUCUUUCUUUCAUUGGAAAAUAUCUUUACAAACCAAUCAAAAUCAAGUAGACGUGCGGGCUAUGUUUGCCUAAACUACUGCCUGAACAUUGCUGCCCGCGAGUUCGAAACAACAUGGACGGCACAACCAAGUUUUGUCUCCACUCGUCUUCAGUGGCCAUUGUUAUGGUUAUUUGAGCAUCUCCAGUGCACAAAUAACGUAAAGUUACGCACAGCCGCUCGCUCGUGGUUAUUACUUUCCUUCGUUGAGACGAUUUCUUCAAAUAGGGACCAAUCCAUUGAAGCAGUUCCUCGAAUUUUUUUGGUGUCAUUCAGAAAUAUGUAAAAAAUAAAACUUGAUAAUAUAACCAAA